rnacentral:rRNA from 1 species
UGAACGCUGGCGGCGUGCCUAAUACAUGCAAGUCGAGCGAGAACUUGAUGAUGGAAGAUUCGUCUGAAAGAUUCAAGGGAAAGCGGCGGACGGGUGAGUAACGCGUAGGCAACCUGCCCUUAGCAGAGGGAUAGCCAUUGGAAACGAUGAUUAAAACCUCAUAACGCUUGAGAGACACAUGUCUUUCGAGCCAAAGAUUUAUCGGCUAAGGAUGGGCCUGCGUCUGAUUAACUGGUUGGUGAGGUAACGGCUCACCAAGGUGACGAUCAGUAGCCGACCUGAGAGGGUGAUCGGCCACAUUGGAACUGAGACACGGUCCAAACUUCUACGGAAGGCAGCAGUAAGGAAUCUUGCACAAUGGGGGAAACCCUGAUGCAGCAACGCCGCGUGAACGAAGAAGGCCUUCGGGUUGUAAAGUUCUGAUCUUGGGGAAGAAGGAAGUGACGGUACCCAAGGAGAAAGCCCCGGCUAACUACGUGCCAGCCGCAGC